CUCUCCUCCUGUUUUCCCGCCGAUUUCCUGGGGAGGCUUCAGUUGAGAACUGCAGUAUCCUGGGCAUGAAGGCUGCUCAGCCUGGCAGCCGGGAGCCUCAUACACAACAGAUGGGACCAGAGCACCUGGAGGGAGCCCUGGCAGCUCUCUCCAUCAGCUGGUGCUUCUAGUUUUCCCUGAUCUGUGUUUUCUAGCUUGAAGACACGUUUGCCACGUCUGCAUAUCCACGAGACCAGUAGACCCCGAACUUGGGUUUCACCAUUUCCUGACUUCAAAGUCUUCUGACAGCUGUAACCUGUUUUUUGACAGGGCUCCUCCCCCCAUUUAUUCUCACCAGUGUCCCACAAAUAGUCAGGUACUGUGUGGGUGGGGCAGGCGUGUUGGGGUGGCCCUGCCCGGUGGGAUUCACAGGCCUGUUGCUCCAGAUCAUUGACGACAAGGGCAACAGCCUGCCGUUCAACACUGAAGGCACCGCUGGCAUCAGGAUGAAGCCCACCAAGCCCAUUGGCCUCUUCAUGGGCUCUGAAACAUUUAGAUUAUUUCCAUCUUUUGGCUACUGUGAAUAAUGCUGCAAUGAACAUUGGUGUGCAAGUAUCUGUUUGAGUUCCUGCUUUCACUUCUUUUGGAUAUAUACCUGAAAGUGCAAUUGCUGCAUCUUAUGGACAACCCAGUAAAGUCAGCCAAAGUGGAGUGUGGGGACUUUUACAACUC